AGUGAACGCUGGCGGUAGGCCUAACACAUGCAAGUCGAACGGCAGCACAAGAGAGCUUGCUCUCUGGGUGGCGAGUGGCGGACGGGUGAGGAAUACAUCGGAAUCUACCUUUUCGUGGGGGAUAACGUAGGGAAACUUACGCUAAUACCGCAUACGACCUUCGGGUGAAAGCAGGGGACCUUCGGGCCUUGCGCGGCUAGAUGAGCCGAUGUCGGAUUAGCUAGUUGGCGGGGUAAGGGCCCACCAAGGCGACGAUCCGUAGCUGGUCUGAGAGGAUGAUCAGCCACACUGGAACUGAGACACGGUCCAGACUCCUACGGGAGGCAGCAGUGGGGAAUAUUGGACAAUGGGCGCAAGCCUGAUCCAGCCAUACCGCGUGGGUGAAGAAGGCCUUCGGGUUGUAAAGCCCUUUUGUUGGGAAAGAAAAGCAGCCAGUUAAUACCUGGUUGUUCUGACGGUACCCAAAGAAUAAGCACCGGCUAACUUCGUGCCAGCCGCCGCGGUAA
rnacentral:rRNA from 1 species